GCCCGGGUUAUGUUCAAGAUGGCGACUGAAUCCUUAAAAAUAAGGGAAAAGAUGUGGUGUAGCAUCAUCGUCUUCAAUUCUUCUCCGACAUCUUUUUGGAAAGGACAACCUCAAGGAAUGGACUGCUGCAGAUAGCCCACUAUUGAUCCGACAAGGAAUGGAUCGAGGUAGAUGAGUUGUCAUAGUUGGACUGGAUGAAAUACACAAGAUAACUCACUCUUGAUCCCUCAAUGAAUGCAAGGCACAAGAUAACCCACUCUUUGGCAAGUGAUGAGCUACUGGGAGAAAAGCAACUUCACCACUCGUUGAUGUCAAAUGGAUGAAAUGAACAAGUCGAACUACAAGAUGUCUUUCAUGAAGAAGGACUGAGUUAAUAUCAACAGAAUACCAGACCAGUGAUUGACUGCAUGAUGGGACUGUAGGCCCUGUAUGAUGUCACCAGAGACCUGCCUGGUGCGACAUCAAUCUUCAAUAUCAAUCUGAGCAGGUGAGUUUACAAUCUAAUGCAUGCUUUUUAAUACAGUCAAUGUAGAUACACCAGUGAAAAAUAUUAUCAAGAAUUGGAAAGGUCAGAAAAACCUAUUUGGAAGUGGACAGACAAAAUUUGUUUGUACCAAGAAAGUGCUCACAUGAAUGACUGCCUUUUCAUGUGAUGUACAAGUUCAUUACUUCAAAGACCCUAUUACACACCACUUUGGGGGUGUUUUUCAUAAAAUAAUGAGUAGCUGUUGAAACUCAAGUUUUUCAUUCUGCAUAACUUGUG